AGAGUUUGAUCCUGGCUCAGGAUGAACGCUAGCUACAGGCUUAACACAUGCAAGUCGAGGGGAAACGACAUCGAAAGCUUGCUUUUGAUGGGCGUCGACCGGCGCACGGGUGAGUAACGCGUAUCCAACCUGCCCACCACUUGGGGAUAACCUUGCGAAAGUAAGACUAAUACCCAAUGACGUCUCUAGAAGACAUCUGAAUGAGAUUAAAGAUUUAUCGGUGAUGGAUGGGGAUGCGUCUGAUUAGCUUGGUUGGCGGGGUAACGGCCCACCAAGGCGACGAUCAGUAGGGGUUCUGGAGAGGAAGGUCCCCCACAUUGGAACUGAGACACGGUCCAACUCCGUACGGGAGCA
rnacentral:rRNA from 1 species